rnacentral:piRNA from 1 species
UCCAUUAGGUAUUACAAUGGUGCCCAUAGA